AGUGAACGCUGGCGGCGUGCCUAAUACAUGCAAGUCGAACGAAGUGGCGCACGGGUGAGUAAUAUAUAGUUAAUCUGCCCUCCAAUGAGGAACAACAGCUGGAAGAGACUGCUAAUACCUCAUAUUGUAGGAUGAGACUAUAUCGUAUCAGCUAGUUGGUAAGGUAAUGGCUUACCAAGGCUAUGACGCGUAACUGGUCUGAGAGGAUGAUCAGUAAAAUGUGAACUGAGACACGGUCCAGACACCUACGGGAGGCGGCAGAAAGGAAUUUCGCGCAAUGGGGGAAAACGUGGCGCGACAACGCGGCGUAGAGGAUGAUACUUUUCGGAGCAUAAACUCCUUUUAUCAGGAGAGCGGUACCUGAAGAAUAAGCACCGGCUAACUCCGUGCCAGCAGCCGCGGUAAUAC
rnacentral:rRNA from 1 species